UUGGUUUUAUUUUGAGGCUAUUGAGUUGGCAUAUUGAUGGGGGAAUUCUAAUUAUUUGAAUUCAUAUAUUUGGAUUGGGCUACUGAAUUUUUUUAUAAUUGUUGGAGACUAUUGGAUGUGUUAACUUGAACUAAAGUCUAGAUUUAUGAUCUAACCAGGAAUCUUUGCCAUUGAGUAGAGAUUUAGAUUUUGAGAUGCUUAUGUGAGUUAUCAUAUG
rnacentral:lncRNA from 1 species